rnacentral:rRNA from 1 species
CGAACGAACCCUUCGGGGUUAGUGGCGCACGGGUGCGUAACGCGUGGGAACCUGCCUUUAGGUUCGGAAUAACAGUUAGAAAUGACUGCUAAUACCGGAUAAUGUCUUCGGACCAAAGAUUUAUCGCCUUUAGAUGGGCCCGCGUUAGAUUAGAUAGUUGGUGGGGUAAUGGCCUACCAAGUCGACGAUCUAUAGCUGGUCUGAGAGGAUGAUCAGCCACACUGGAACUGAGACACGGUCCAG